GACGAACGCUGGCGGCGUGCUUAACACAUGCAAGUCGAACGGAAAGGCCCUGCUUUUGUGGGGUGCUCGAGUGGCGAACGGGUGAGUAACACGUGAGUAACCUGCCCUUGACUUUGGGAUAACUUCAGGAAACUGGGGCUAAUACCGGAUAGGAGCUCCUGCUGCAUGGUGGGGGUUGGAAAGUUUCGGCGGUUGGGGAUGGACUCGCGGCUUAUCAGCUUGUUGGUGAGGUAGUGGCUUACCAAGGCUUUGACGGGUAGCCGGCCUGAGAGGGUGACCGGCCACAUUGGGACUGAGAUACGGCCCAGACUCCUACGGGAGGCAGCAGUGGGGAAUAUUGCACAAUGGGCGGAAGCCUGAUGCAGCAACGCCGCGUGCGGGAUGACGGCCUUCGGGUUGUAAACCGCUUUCGCCUGUGACGAAGCGUGAGUGACAGUAAUGGGUAAAGAAGCACCGGCUAACUACGUG
rnacentral:rRNA from 1 species